GACGAACGCUGGCGGCGUGCUUAACACAUGCAAGUCGAACGGAAAGGCCCUGCUUGCAGGGUACUCGAGUGGCGAACGGGUGAGUAACUCGUGGGUGAUCUGCCCUGCACUUCGGGAUAAGCCUGGGAAACUGGGUCUAAUACCGGAUGGGAGCCAUUUUUAGUGUGAUGGUUGGAGAGUUUUUUAGGUGUAGGAUGCACUCGCGGCCUAUCCGCUUGUUAGUGGGGUAGUGGCCUACCAAGGCGGCGACGGGUAGCCGGCCUGAGAGGGUGGACGGCCACAUUGGGACUGAGAGACGGCGCAGAAGGCUACGGGAGGCAGCAGUGGGGAAUAUGGCACAAUGGGGGCAAGUCUGAUGCAGCGACGCCGCGUGGGGGAUGACGUCCUUCGGGUUGUAAACGCCGUUCGCUAGGGACGAAGCAUUUUGUGACGGUACCUAGAUAAGAAGCACCGGCUAACUACGUG
rnacentral:rRNA from 1 species